rnacentral:piRNA from 1 species
UGGUUCCCAAAUGGGAGUGUGCUUGGAAGC